AUUGAACGCUGGCGGAAUGCUUUACACAUGCAAGUCGAGCGGCAGCGCGGGGGCAACCCUGGCGGCGAGCGGCGAACGGGUGAGUAACAUAUCGGAACGUACCCAGUCGUGGGGGGACAACUAUCCGAAAGGAUAGCUAAUACCGCAUACGUCCUGAGGGAGAAAGCGGGGGAUCGCAAGACCUCGCGCGAUUGGAGCGGCCGAUAUCGGAUUAGCUAGUUGGUGGGGUAAAGGCUCACCAAGGCGACGAUCCGUAGCGGGUCUGAGAGGACGACCCGCCACACUGGAACUGAGACACGGUCCAGACUCCUACGGGAGGCAGCAGUGGGGAAUUUUGGACAAUGGGGGCAACCCUGAUCCAGCCAUUCCGCGUGAGUGAAGAAGGCCUUCGGGUUGUAAAGCUCUUUCAGCAGGAACGAAACGGUGGUCCCUAAUACGGACUACUAAUGACGGUACCUGAAGAAGAAGCACCGGCUAACUACGUG
rnacentral:rRNA from 1 species